rnacentral:tRNA from 2 species
GAAAGCCGGAAUAGCUCAGUUGGUAGAGCAGAGGACUGAAAAUC